rnacentral:rRNA from 1 species
CCUACGGGAGGCAGCAGUGAGGAAUAUUGGUCAAUGGCCGAGAGGCUGAACCAGCCAAGUCGCGUGAGGGAAGACGGCCCUACGGGUUGUAAACCUCUUUUGUCGGGGAGCAAAGCGAACCACGUGUGGUUCAUUGAGAGUACCCGAAGAAAAAGCAUCGGCUAACUCCGUGCCAGCAGCCGCGGUAAUACGGCGGAUGCGAGCGUUAUCCGGAUUUAUUGGGUUUUAAGGGUGCGCAGGCGGAGGUGCAAGUCAGCGGUCAAAUUGCGGGGCUCAACCCCGUACUGCCGUUGAAACUGCAUCCCUUGAGUGCGCGAGAAGUAUGCGGAAUUCCGAGUGUAGCGGUGAAAUGCGUAGAUAUUAGGAGGAACACCGGCGGCGAAGGCGGCCUGCUGGACCGUAACUGACGUUGAGGCUCGAAAGCGUGGGGAGCAAACAGGAUUAGAUACCCCUGUAGGC